rnacentral:rRNA from 1 species
UAAUACGUAGGGUCCAAGCGUUAAUCGGAAUUACUGGGCGUAAAGCGUGCGCAGGCGGUUGUGCAAGACCGAUGUGAAAUCCCCGAGCUUAACUUGGGAAUUGCAUUGGUGACUGCACGGCUAGAGUGUGUCAGAGGGGGGUAGAAUUCCACGUGUAGCAGUGAAAUGCGUAGAGAUGUGGAGGAAUACCGAUGGCGAAGGCAGCCCCCUGGGAUAACACUGACGCUCAUGCACGAAAGCGUGGGGAGCAAACAGGAUU